rnacentral:rRNA from 1 species
GAUGAACGCUGGCGGCGUGCCUAAUACAUGCAAGUCGAGCGAACAGACGAGGAGCUUGCUCCUCUGACGUUAGCGGCGGACGGGUGAGUAACAUGUGGAUAACCUACCUAUAAGACUGGGAUAACUUCGGGAAACCGGAGCUAAUACCGGAUAAUAUAUUGAACCGCAUGGUUCAAUAGUGAAAGACGGUUUUGCUGUCACUUAUAGAUGGAUCCGCGCCGCAUUAGCUAGUUGGUAAGGUAACGGCUUACCAAGGCAACGAUGCGUAGCCGACCUGAGAGGGUGAUCGGCCACACUGGAACUGAGACACGGUCCAGACUCUUACGGGAGGCAGCAGUAGGGAAUCUUCCGCAAAGGGCGAAAGCCUGACGGAGCAACGCCGCGUGAGUGAUGAAGGUCUUCGGAUCGUAAAACUCUGUUAUUAGGGAAGAACAAAUGUGUAAGUAACUAUGCACGUCUUGACGGUACCUAAUCAGAAAGCCACGGCUAACUACGUG